rnacentral:rRNA from 1 species
UUUUUGAAGAGUUUGAUCCUGGCUCAGGAUGAACGCUGGCGGCGUGCCUAAUACAUGCAAGUCGAGCGGUAACAUGGACUUCGGUCUGAUGACGAGCGGCGGACGGCUGAGUAACGCGUAGGAACGUACCCCAAACUGAGGGAUAACUGCUCGAAAGAGUAGCUAAUACCGCAUGUGCUCUAAGGAGUAAAGCUUCGGCGGUUUGGGAACGGCCUGCGUACGAUUAGAUUGUUGGUGAGGUAAUGGCUCACCAAGUCGAUGAUCGUUAGCUGGUCUGAGAGGAUGAUCAGCCAGACUGGGACUGAGAACGGCCCAGACUCCUACGGGAGGCAGCAGUAGGGAAUUU